rnacentral:rRNA from 1 species
UACGGAGGGUGCAAGCGUUAUCCGGAUUCACUGGGCUUAAAGGGUGCGUAGGUGGGCCUGUAAGUCAGCGGUGAAAUCUCCGGGCUUAACCCGGAAACUGCCAUUGAUACUAUAGGUCUUGAAUUAUCUGGAGGUAAGCGGAAUAUGUCAUGUAGCGGCGAAAUGCUUAGAUAUGACAUAGAACACCAAUUGCGAAGGCAGCUUACUACGGAUAUAUUGACACUGAGGCACGAAAGCGUGGGGAUCAAACAGG